rnacentral:lncRNA from 1 species
GGAAACGGACACGCAAACGCCAAGGGGGCAGAACAGCGCGCCUGGUGUGUGCUGGGAACAGCCUGGCAUGGAGAUGAGAUGAAUGGUGGCAUUGGGGCAGAUCAAGCCCCACCUUUUAUUUGGAGUGAAGUGGAGGCUUCCAGAGGAAUCUAGGCUGAGGAGUGAUGUGAUCUGAUUUCCAUUUUAUUUUAUUUUAUUUUUAGUUUUUGAAGAAGAUUAGCCCUGAGCUAACAUCUGCUGCCGAUCCUCCUCUUUUUGCUGAGGGAGACUGGCCCUGAGCUAACAUCAGUGCCCAUCUUCCUCUACUUUAUAUGUGGGAUGCCUACCACAGCAUGGCUUGACAAACUGUGCCAUGUCUGCCCGAACCGGCCAACCCCCGGCUGCUGAGAAGCGGAAGCUGCGCACUUAACUGCGCCACCAGCCACCCCGAUUUCCAUUUUAAAAGUCUCAGCUGAUCUUGAAUGGAAACCACAGCCUGAUUCUUCAAGGAUGCGUGUCCUCUAGACAAAGAAGUGGGGAACGAGGAAUGUGGUGCUCUUGGAGGAAGCACAAUACAUGAACAAUGGCAGGACUUGCAGUAACCUGGCCCAUUUUGUGCUGAGACAAAGAGGGAAUCGCAUUAAUCGUCUGAAGGCACCUCGCUGAGUGCCUACAGAGAAGACCAAGUCUCCGGAAGUUUAAGUUAAUGCCUACAAUUACACAGCUAACAAGUUCCAGAGUAAGGAUGCUCACCUAGGAUGAGCCAACAGUCUUGGCCAAGAUAGAAAGAACAAAUUUGGUGGAGGGGAAGCAGAGGAAGUGUCCGGUAGAGUCAGAGAUGGGGAGCACCAUAGUGGAGGAGGCACUGGGCAGACCUGUGGUAGGAGGAGAACUCGGGCAGGUAGAACUGAGAAUGGAGGGUUGAGAAAGAACAGGGUAUUCUACAAGGAGGCGCAAAGAUCUGGAGAGACGACACCUAUGUGGGGCACAGGGGGCUCCAUUGGCAGUGCCCUCCAGCCAGUGGGUGUGAGAGAGGAGACAGGAUGCAUAGACACUACAAACCACUCAAGUCUAUCAAACUCAUGACAGUUUUGGGUUCGGGACAUUUCUCUGGAAAACCACUAGUGAGGCUGAGUAGAAGCAGGAGCCCAGGAGGCAGAAACCAUUGGUGAUAUGGUCAAUUAAUGUUAAUAGCAAUAGUGAGAAGAGGAAGAAGAGAAGAAAGAAG